GGCAGUUCUCGGGUGAUGAACCCCUGAAUCGAGCUCCCUUCUCUCUGGUUCUGAGUGUGUCACCCGAGAACUGCC
rfam:Myotis davidii contig184534, whole genome shotgun sequence.